rnacentral:rRNA from 1 species
GCAUUAUACAGCGAAACUGCGAAUGGCUCAUUAUAUAAGUUAUCGUUUAUUUGAUAGUGCCUUACUACUUGGAUAACCGUGGUAAUUCUAGAGCUAAUACAUGCUAAAAAUCCCGACUCCGGAAGGGAUGUAUUUAUUAGAUUAAAAACCAAUGCCCUCUGGGCUCCCUGGUGAUUCAUGAUAACUUCUCGAAUCGCACGGCCUUGCGCCGGCGAUGGUUCAUUCAAAUUUCUUCCCUAUCAACUUUCGAUGUUUGGGUAGUGGCCAAACAUGGUGGCAACGGGUAACGGAGGGUUAGGGCUCGACCCCGGAGAAGGAGCCUGAGAAACGGCUACUACAUCCAAGGAAGGCAGCAGGCGCGCAAAUUACCCAAUCCCGACACGGGGAGGUAGUGACAAUAAAUACUGAUACAGGGCUCUUUUGGGUCUUGUAAUUGGAAUGAGUACAAUUUAAAUCCCUUAACGAGGAACAAUUGGAGGGCAAGUCUGGUGCCAGCAGCCGCGGUAAUUCCAGCUCCAAUAGCGUAUAUUAAAGUUGUUGUGGUUAAAAAGCUCGUAGUUGAACCUUGGGCCUGGCUGGCCGGUCCGCCUCACCGCGUGUACUGGUCCGGCCGGGCCUUUCCCUCUGUGGAACCCCAUGCCCUUCACUGGGUGUGGCGGGGAAACAGGACUUUUACUUUGAAAAAAUUAGAGUGCUCCAGGCAGGCCUAUGCUCGAAUACAUUAGCAUGGAAUAAUGAAAUAGGACGCGCGGUUCUAUUUUGUUGGUUUCUAGGACCGCCGUAAUGAUUAAUAGGGACAGUCGGGGGCAUCAGUAUUCAAUUGUCAGAGGUGAAAUUCUUGGAUUUAUUGAAGACUAACUACUGCGAAAGCAUUUGCCAAGGAUGUUUUCAUUAAUCAGGAACGAAAGUUAGGGGAUCGAAGACGAUCAGAUACCGUCGUAGUCUUAACCAUAAACUAUGCCGACUAGGGA